rnacentral:lncRNA from 1 species
UUUUUUUAAUUCAAUAACAAGUUGUUUAAUUAAUUAAGACAACAAAAGUCAUGACAGCUAACAUUGAGCCCAACGAUGAUAAUUGAUACCUUCGAGAUUUUUGAUUAGUUUUCUCUUGUUUUGUUUCAUAAAAUAUAUUGAAAUGACUAUUUAAUUAGAUGGUAUCAAAUUUGUUUAAUCUUUAUUUAAAUAAAAAUUCAUAUCGAAUUUGUAUAAUUUUCUUACUUUUGUCUGCCCCGUUAGAUUGUUUAUUUCGACUUCUUUAUUUUAUGAUCUUUGCUCUUCCUCUUCCCAACUUUGCUGCUCAAUAACUUUAGUAAUGGUUUGAGCAGGGCUUACCUGGAAAAAAACAAAAAAUGUCAUACGACCAGUUUUAAAUUGAUUUUCAAAGGUUUUAAAAAAAGUAUUAUUACAAAAAGUAUUAGAAAAUAGAUACUAUCACAAAUUUUCCAAAAACAUUUAAGCCCAAAAUUAACUAUGAGAUUCGGGGAAAUCAUGUUUGAUUCGAACCCGAAUCAAUACUACUCAAAGAAAGAGACAGAAACUUCUUUUUCUUUUGCCACUGGACUUUGACGAUUUGGUUAUAACAAAAAUAAUAAUUACCUUGAAGAUAGAAAAGAAUCAAACCCUUUAACAAAAAAAAAGAAGAUAGAAAAAAAUUGAUUUCAUUAGCUGUAUCAAAUUCAGAUCAUUGAUGGAAGAUGUGAAAAGUCAUAACAGCUAACAUUGAGCCGAUGAUGACACCUCUGAAGAUUAAUCAUUAAAAUAUAAAAUCACGCGGUUUGUAUCAGAAAAUUUUGAUAUGACGAAGUUUUCAAAAACAAAUAUACUGAAGGAUUCUCUCUAGCUAUGUGACAUGGUGGCCACCUUAGAAAAAAUAUACGAGUUCAGUUUGAAAGUUUCAACAUAUCAAUUCGAAAAAAAUGCAAAAGAAAACAAAAAUCCCACUGAUUUCGUUUUCACCUAAAAAAUUUGAUAAAUUUUUAUUUAGUUUUAAUAUUUAUGUCUAAGUUAAGCUCUUCAAUUUGUAUCCGUUGUGUUAUGCAAUAUCAAUGAAACCAAACCGGUGCGUGACACGAGUAAUCGCGUAAUGUAGUUCUUCGGGCAGAAGGCAGUACUGAAUUGAUUACACGGACAUGGUAAUGGUUGUUCUUUCUCCUUGGUUUGACAAUGUUUAGAUGAAUCUUCUUCUUAUGCUUCUUGGCUCAUUCCUUGACUUUACAUUUCUCAGUUCUCAUAUAACUUCUCUAUAAUGCUGUUUAACUACGAUGGCCGGUCCAAUGAGAAGAGUUUGAAUGGUCCAAGCAAGCCAUUCAUGUGAACAUUCUGAAACAAAUAAAUUGGUUAGUGGCUACUUACCUAAGCUGGAACGCCAAUCUUCUUCCUAGUAGGAGUUUUUGAUGUAGUGAAUAUCGAAUGUUUUAGUGGAGCCACUUCCCAGAUCUUCAUAGUAUUCCAAUUCUCUUUUGUCCAGUUAAAGCCAUUGUUAGCUCCUUGAAGGUGAUUUAGCCGUGUAGAUCCCAAAUUUUUGUGGUAGCCAAGCAUAAGUUGAAAGAAUAUGCGGAAUUGUAUUAAAGAUUAAGAGAGUUAUGAAGAACAAGAGAGUUUGUAUGUGAGAGAAUAUGAGACCAAAUCAUGUUGAUAGAAUUA